UUGGAGGGCAAGUCUGGUGCCAGCAGCCGCGGUAAUUCCAGCUCCAAUAGCGUAUAUUAAAGUUGUUGCAGUUAAAAAGCUCGUAGUUGAACCUUGGGCCUGGCUGGCCGGUCCGCCUCACCGCGUGUACUGGUCCGGCCGGGCCUUUCCUUCUGGGGAACCUCAUGCCCUUCACUGGGCGUGUUGGGGAACCAGGACUUUUACUUUGAAAAAAUUAGAGUGUUCAAAGCAGGCCUUUGCUCGAAUACAUUAGCAUGGAAUAAUAGAAUAGGACGUGUGGUUCUAUUUUGUUGGUUUCUAGGACCGCCGUAAUGAUUAAUAGGGAUAGUCGGGGGCAUCAGUAUUCAAUCGUCAGAGGUGAAAUUCUUGGAUUGAUUGAAGACUAACUACUGCGAAAGCAUUUGCCAAGGAUGUUUUCAUUAAUCAGUGAACGAAAGUUAGGGGAUCGAAGACGAUCAGAUACCGUCGUAGUCUUAACCAUAAACUAUGCCGACUAGGGAUCGGACGGUGUUAGUAUUUUGACCCGUUCGGCGCCUUACGGGAAAC
rnacentral:rRNA from 1 species